GGGUGCUAACCUGCAAGACACAAUAAAGUGCAUUCUUAGGUAUGCUGUGACAAACUCCUUGGCUGUGCAAUACAACUGCUGUGGCAAAGGAGAGAAACACAGUUUUUACCAUCUUGAAGUUGCAGGAUACCAUUAUCAAUUGCACAUUUUUGUGUGAUAGGGGUGCUAACCUGCAAGACACAAUGAAGUGCAUUCUUAGGUAUGCUGUGACAAACUCCUUGGCUGUGCAAUACAACUGCUGUGGCAAAGGAGAGAAACACAGUUUUUACUAUCUUGAAGUUGCAGGAUACCAUUAUCAAUUGCACAUUUUUGUGUGAUAGGGGUGCUAACCUGCAAGACACAAUAAAGUGCAUUCUUAGGUAUGCUGUGACAAACUCCUUGGCUGUGCAAUACAACUGCUGUGGCAAAGGAGAGAAACACAGUUUUUACCAUCUUGAAGUUGCAGGAUACCAUUAUCAAAAGUGUGUGUGCAAGCAUCCAGACUAUAGGCAUAAAACAGCAGCCUCUGUCGAAGUCAUUAUGAAAGAAUGGUUCCACACAGCCAGAGACCGAGAUGGAGGGUGAUGAAGGAGGGAUUUAAGUGUAAACCACUAACAACAGUGUGAACACACACAAAUAAUAGUGAAGCUUUGCAGGUCACAGCUGUGAGUGUUAUGCAUGCACCACAUAACAUAUAGCUAUAGGUAUUCUGUUAAUAACUGAACUUUGGAAAUGUUUCCCAUUUUGUACU
rnacentral:lncRNA from 1 species